AAUAUCCGCGUGUGUGCACAGAUGCACUUCUCCCCGGGAUGCUUUAGAGUCGCACAAGGCACAGCGGCGAGUGGGCGCUUCCGGGGCGAAUGGGGCUGGUCCCGGCUUCCUCUUGAACCAAGGACCAGGUCCCAGGAGAGGCGCAGAACCCCUUUGUGCCCAGUCCUUGGGAGACCAGUUGUGAGCAGAAUGAUGCACUCUAACUCCACAUGUGCACUCACGAGUAGGCUCACUGUCCAAGACAGUAGGUGCAGCCCAGCUCCCUUCCCCACCCCCACCUCCGAGGUGGGCGCAGCUGCUCCCCGGCGCGCCGACCCCGAGGGAGUCAGUCGCUCCCUGGCGCCAGAGUCCAAGCCCGCCAUGGGAGCCGGUGGCGCCACCAGCCGACUGAAGGUGGCGCUUUAACACUACAACCUUCCAGGGGCACGUGGGCUCACCCCCCUCUCUUUUUUUUUCUUUUCUCCUUCUUUCUAAAGCAAAGAAAUUCAUUUAAAGCCUGAGAGACUGGAUCCUCCCCCUCCCACUCCCAACCCCCCGCGUCUGCAUUGGCUGUUUUGUCCUUUUUCUCCGUCUGUUUCCCCUGAUCUGUCGGCUUGGGAGACACUGCAGAGAGAGCUUGGCUGCACCCGAUUCCCGGGCGCCCCGCCCCAGUAGGAGGUCAGAGUAACGGUCUGUGGGGUUUGGCUGGGAUCGGAUUCUCGCGUUCAAUCUGGCCACUCCCGAUGCGGAUUCUAAACCGGCUUCUGGGGCCAGCUAGCAGCAAGUAGCACACUCCCCGCCCCUGCAUCACCGGUCCGCCUGUGAGCGCGCCCGCCUCCCCCCACUUUCUACCUCCCCUCCCCCAGCUCCUCACUCCUCCCCAGCCCUCCUCUUCCUCUCGCUCCCCUCCCCCUUUCCCCGCAGCCCACAAGAUCUUCAGCAACCUUUUCCUGAAAUCCAGAGAGAAGCUGGCGGGCCUUCUGUCUGGUUGGUUCACUGUCUUAGCUAAACUCCGUAGACCAGAGGGGAAACAAGAUUGUUGGGAAACUCUAUUUUCAGUUAAACCAGCCAUGACUUCUAACUGCUGAACUCUAAGCACUGAAGCCCCACAGAUGAGCAGGUGAUGAGUCCAUUCCAUUUAUUAAAAGGAACAACUUUUUCCUAAUUUUUGUCUGGUUUGAUUUGACCACAUUUUUGAACCUCCCUCUACAUAUAGAUCUGUGAUACUUUCUAUAUAUUUCUUUAAUUUUCCUUUGUCCUACAGCCAAUGUAUAACAAUAGCCUUCUUUUUUCCCCCCCCCCCACCCAAAACGAAAUUCUGCCACAUUUCUGUUAGCUUCUCUUUAAAAUAUGAAUGCUCUUGGUCAAAACUUCCUUAUGUGACUGUAGCAUCUGUAGAAAGGCAGCACUGGAGUUUGGUUGAGAUGGAACUGUGAGCCAUAAAGAUACAACAAUAGGAAAGAGCUGAAUUGAUGUGAAUUUGUCAAUUAUCCAAAGGAACUCCAGGUGACAAUAACUUAAUCAUGGCAAAAAUUCAUAUAGGCAAGAUUGGGACAUCGACAACAUCCCAGCAAAAUGUCACUAUGCCAAAACUGAAAAUGUUGUGUCAGCUGCUUUGUAAAAAGAUGAGCUAUUUUCGUCAUAUAAAUAUAGAAAUAAAGUAUA